CUGAGUGAGCUUGAGAAAGGUGGAAGAAUGCACUGAGCCUGCCAUAUGCUGUUUACAGUACAGAAACGUGAUUGAGGCUCAUGUCUGAUUUCAUGAUUAGGACAUUUGUUAAGAGAUGAGGAGUCUAGGGACAUUUUAAUUACUGGUGUAAUGUCAUAAGAAGAGACUGAGAACAUCAUCUUCCUCUGAGUGCCCUGUAUUUGAGGAAGCCUGAACUCAGAUACUUUCCCUCAGCAUGAACAGUCUAACUCCUGAGGUCCUGUAAUGGCUGUUCUACUUCCAGCAACUUUACAAAUUCAAUUUUGUGUGCCACAGUAUCAGUUCAUAAGAAUAAAAGGCCUUCUGGUUGUCAGAACUAGACCAUCCAGUUCAGCCUGGAGAAGAAGAAGGUUGUAUCUGUGUGUGCAAAGGGAAGACUGCAGGGAGAGACUGUUUCAUGUCUGAACAGAAUUGCCUAAGAUCCAGGAAGACAGACCAGUCUCAAGAAUAUUCUUCACUCCUUUCCUGAGCUUCACAAAGCAGAUUUGCUAGAGGUCCUUUCCCAUAGGGAAAAAAAAAGUUGCUAAGAAUUAAGUUUUAAUUAUGCCAGAAAAGAGAAGCAAAUACAAGGUAUGGUAUGAAAGCAGUGUACCUGAUAAACACACUUGUCAUGAUGUCAGAAUUUGUUGCUAUGAAUGUGAUGUCAUAAUGUAAACAGUGUCAGAAGUAAUGUUUUUAUGAAACACUGGGCAGAGUUUGUCUCUUAUAGCAAUGUAAUCUGGAAUUACUUUUUAGACGUGUGUACAAUCAAGAUUCAGAAUUAAGGUCAAGAUUCCUGUCUGUAUUGGGUUUACACGGCAAGGUUUUGGUAGCAGGGGGGCUACAGGGGUGGCUUCUGUGAGAAACUGCUACAAGCUUCCCCUAUGUCCG